AACACUAAGAAAUACUAUAAUGUUUUCUCCCAGUAACAAUACUCUUUCAUCAACUGAUAACAACAGUGUACAACCCUCCACUCUCAAAAGACUAUUCAAAACACAUAAUUUCCAUUCAACACCAGAAAUAACAGACUUCACUCCAAUCAAUCUGAAUUCACACAAUUUUUGUAAUCACCAACUUUCUUUGUCCAAAACACACAGAGCUCUCAAUAAACAACAAUCAUAAUCUUCCAGUAACCCCUCAUAUAAUUCAAUCACUCAGUACUCCAAUUACAUAAUCAAUAACUCAUAAAUCAAUCUCUGAUUUAUUCCACAGACUCACUUCUCAAUAUUCAGAAACUAUCCAUUACUCUUCAACAACAAUGAAAACAAAGAAACAAAGAGG
rnacentral:lncRNA from 1 species